AAGUUCCUGUGGGUCUAGACAAAGUGCAAAUUUUAAUCGCAAACCAGUCGAAAAGUGGUCGAAAAGCCCCUUUUUUGUAUGGAGUUUUGACGGAUUCGAUUUUCGAUUCGAUCAAAAAGUGCGUUUUGUCUAGGGGGGCUGGUCGGGCUAUAGAGAUUUAUUUAAAUAAACGCUCAAACACAGUUUUUGAACGAAAACCAUAAACGAUAUUAUAAAAUUAUUUUUGUUUAUUUCUGAACGUUUAUUGUCUAUGUAAAAAAGUUGUCUAAUGCUUUUGUCGAUCAUUAAAAUUUAUUUUCUGUCUGUGCUCUUUCCGUAUGUUUUACUAAUAUUAAUUUGGCCUAAUAUUCUGCAUAAUAUUUUGAAUCAUCAUGUCGAAAAAUCACAAAGAUAAUGAAACUUGCAUCGAGGAUGAUACACGUGGUAAUGUGUAAUGUCGGCAACUGUGUUCCUGCACUUCCUGCUGCAUCACAAAGGGGCGACCAAGGUACCAAUACCAUUUCUAUUGAGAAAUUAGAAGGCACCAAAAACUACUGUAAUUGGAAGUUACAAUUGAAAAUGGUGCUGAUAGACGCCGGGUUGUGGCACUGUAUACAGCCAGGAGAAUCUGUGCUGUUUGGGGAUGACGAACGAGCUAUCGCCAAAAUUUGCCUUAACCUGCAAAGCAGUGUUUAUCCAUAUGUUAAGAACGCUAAAACCGCCAAAUAUGUAUGGAAAAGUUUAGAGAGGGCGUAUGAAAACAAAGGCAUAAGUCGUAGACUGGCCCUAAAAAGGGUCUAUACAAGAUUCAAUGUGAGACAUUUCCUUCAUUGGAGAAAUACAUUACAAAUAUAAUUGAUGCAUCACAACAACUUGCUGAAAUUGUUUGGAUAUUUGGAGUGCGGUGGAAGCGGCGCAACCACUCCUCGUGGGCCGACGACGCCACGGGCGAGGCUCACUCCACCGACCGCUACAUGACCACGAAAUCAUGGAACACCUGUUCUAUGGAAGCGAAGAAGAUUCUUCGGAGGAGGGGGACGAGGACGCGCUGCCGAUCCCGCGCGGUACGGGCGUUUCUCGAGGAAGAGGGGGCUGCACCAGCGGCCCUUGAUUUUUCAUGGCCUCCUCUACUCUUCACCCCCUCCGUCAAGCCGGCUUCGCAGCCAUCAAGCCAGUGGUCCCGGUCCUGGAGUCAGCGGUCCCGAUCCCGGAGUCAACGGCGUUAGAUCAAUUUGACUUUCAGAGGAAAGCUUUCAGUAACCUCAAAUCGCAAUAAUUUCGUAAAUAAAAUUCGUACAUAAAUAA